UACAGAGGGUGCGAGCGUUAAUCGGAAUUACUGGGCGUAAAGCGCGCGUAGGCGGCUUUGCAAGUCGGGUGUGAAAUCCCCAGGCUUAACCUGGGAACUGCAUUCGAGACUGCAUUGCUAGAGUAUGGGAGAGGGAAGUGGAAUUUCCGGUGUAGCAGUGAAAUGCGUAGAGAUGUGGAGGAACACCGAUGGCGAAGGCAGCCCCCUGGGUCAAGAUUGACGCUCAUGCACGAAAGCGUGGGGAGCAAACAGG
rnacentral:rRNA from 1 species